rnacentral:miRNA from 1 species
CUCAUUGAUCGGAAGGGAUUCCUUCCGAUUGAUGAGGAUUUCAUACCUCAUCAACCAUAAGGAAUUCCUUCUGGCCGAUGAGGUUGUUACAUCUCAUCAAUUGGAAGGGAUUCCUUCCGGUUGAUGAGGUAUAACAUCCACAUCAACCGGAAGGAAUCCCUUCUGGCCAAUGAG